CCAUGCCAGGGGUACGGUGAACCCGAAAGGGGGAGGUUUCCUGAGCGUGGCUGGAACGGGCAACCACGCCGGAGCAAGUCCAAGCAGGUCCGUAUGGCAUCGACAGGACCGGGUAGGAUGCAAAGUUGAAUGCGACCAGCCGAAAGGUGAACAGAAAGGGGCUUACUCCCUGCACCC
rnacentral:RNase_P_RNA from 1 species